CCUACGGGAGGCAGCAGUGAGGAAUAUUGGUCAAUGGUCGGGAGACUGAACCAGCCAAGCCGCGUGAGGGAUGAAGGUACUGAGUAUCGUAAACCUCUUUUGUCCGGGAAUCACGGCGUGUACGUGUCUACGUAUGCGUGUACCUGAAGAAAAAGCAUCGGCAAACUCCGUGCCAGCAGCCGCGGUAAUACGGAGGAUCCGGGCGUUAUCCGGAUUUAUUGGGUUUAAAGGGUGCGCGGGCGGGCUGUUAAGUCUGCGGUAAAAGCUCGGGACUAAACCCGGGCCCGGCGGUGAAACUGGCAGUCUCGAGUUGGAGAGAAGUAGGCGGAAUUCGCGGUGUAGCGGUGAAAUGCAUAGAUAGGGCGAAGAACUCCGAUUGCGAAGGCAGCAUGCUGGAGCCACACUGACGCUGAGGCACGAAAGCGUGGGUAGCGAACAGGAUUAGAUACCCGUGUAGUC
rnacentral:rRNA from 1 species